rnacentral:rRNA from 1 species
UACGUAGGUGGCAAGCGUUGUCCGGAAUCACUGGGCGUAAAGCGCGCGCAGGCGGCGAUCUACGUCUGGGGUGAAAGCCCGGAGCUCAACUCCGGGACUGCCUUGGAUACGGGAUCGCUUGAGGAUUGGAGAGGCAAGGGGAAUUCCCAAUGUAGCGGUGAAAUGCGUAGAUAUUGGGAGGAACACCAGUGGCGAAGGCGGCUACCUGGACCGGAACUGACGCUGAUGCGCGAAAGCGUGGGUAGCAAACAGG